CAUGACCCACGAACCAUGAAAAAUGGCCUAGCCUAGGAUAUUGAUAAUUUCCGUAUAUAAUAAGCUUCGGGAUAUAGGCUUUCUAGAAAUGUUUUUCUUUUUUUCAUAUAUUCUAUACUUUUUUGUUAAUAUGACGUUGAAUAUUGUGGUAUUUAAUGUUAAAAAAUUAACAUUUCGGGAUACACGUCAUAACAAUAAACCUCCAAUGACCAUGUACAAUGAACAUGAACCUAUCAAUCUUUGAAUAUAUCAAGUUAUAUGCACUCAAAUAGCUAGAAUGGCUUAUUCAAUGAUCAUAAUAAGCAUUUUUGACCAAAUUUGGGAAAUAGAAAUAAGAAAUAUUUUGGAAAUGAUGUUCAAAGCCGUGAUUGUUCAACUUUACUUUUAAAUUAUUUUUACUUGAAUUUUAAAAUACUGAAAUAAGAAGAAUAAAUAUAGUAUGUAGUUUAUUUACAUGGUGAAAGAAGUAAAUCAUUGGAACAAUUCUGUUUCAUAUCAUAUUCCAUAGUUUUGGGGGUUUUUUUGUUUUCUUUCUUCUUUUUUUUUUUUUUUUGAGUAUUAAAACGACCGAGUAUCGAAAGCAAUGGUAACGAAAUAAGUUGACACCGCGUCUCGUCAAAACAUGUUCAAUUCGAAUUUACUCGGAAUUACACGUUCAACGAGCAUUUGCUGUGAAACCUGAUUAAAGGAAAAUUACUGUAGAUACCUAAUAGUGAUUUGUACAGAAGCGAGCCCCGGCAGUAAUGAUGGCCUCUUUUGAAAUGAAGAUUUCAUGCCUUACUCCUACUGGGACUACAACUAACUUUGGACCUGGUCACUCGUAGAUACAGCAUGAAGUGUGCCCUCUUGAUGUAC